CCGAGUUUACAACUCCCAAACCCAAUGUGAACGUUACCAAACUGUUGCCCUCGGCGGGAUCUCUGCCCCGGGUGCGUCGCAGCCCCGGACCAAGGCGCCCGCCGGUAGGACCAACCAAAACUCUUAUUGUAUACCCCCUCGCGGGUUUAUUUUUAAUAAUCUGAGCCUUCUCGGCGCCUCUCGUAGUAGGCGUUUCGAAAAUGAAUCAAA
rnacentral:misc_RNA from 1 species